ACGUAGGUGGCAAGCGUUAUCCGGGUUUACUGGGCGUAAAGGGUCCGUAGGUGGUUGGGAGGGUCUGGUGUGAAAGCGCUCGGCUUAACUGAGCGAGGCCACUGGAAACCGCCCGACUGGAGUCGCGCAGAGGGCACUGGAAUUCCCGGUGUAGCGGUGAAAUGCAUUGAUAUCGGGAGGAACUCCAACAGCGAAGGCAGGUCACUGGGCGUUUCCUGACGCUGAGGCGCGAAAGCGUGGGUAGCAAACAG
rnacentral:rRNA from 1 species